rnacentral:lncRNA from 1 species
UGCCUAGCUGGUUCGGAUUCGGUCCAAGUCUCUACAGAAGAAGAACAAGCAACAUCAAUAGGUUCGAAACAAAAGAAAUCGCAGAAAUUUCAUAUUGCCUACAAGUGUGGGCUGCAGGUUGGUCAAUCGUACAGUUGAGUGAAAACUCGAGACCAAGACACUAUGUAUCAUAUCAGUAUAAUUGUAGAAGAAAUGCAGAGAAGGCGUACGUCCUCAUCCUUCCCCUAACCCUAAUCCUCACCAAAACCCUAGGAUUUCGUAACAGGACCUUGGUCACCCGUAUCCCGCGCCAG